rnacentral:rRNA from 1 species
UACGUAGGUGGCAAGCGUUGUCCGGAUUUAUUGGGGUUAAAGGGUGCGUAGGCGGCCCUGUAAGUCAGUGCUGAAAUAUCCCGGCUUAACCGGGAGGGUGGCAUUGAUACUGCGGGGCUAGAGUACAGAUGAGGUAGGCGGAAUUGACGGUGUAGCGGUGAAAUGCUUAGAUAUCGUCAAGAACACCUAUAGCGAAGGCAGCUUACUACACAGAUAUUGACGCUCAUGCACGAAAGCGUGGGGAUCAAACAGG